rnacentral:rRNA from 1 species
AUUGAACGCUGGCGGCAGGCCUAACACAUGCAAGUCGAGCGGAUGAAGGGAGCUUGCUCCUGGAUUCAGCGGCGGACGGGUGAGUAAUGCCUAGGAAUCUGCCUGGUAGUGGGGGAUAACGUCCGGAAACGGGCGCUAAUACCGCAUACGUCCUGAGGGAGAAAGUGGGGGAUCUUCGGACCUCACGCUAUCAGAUGAGCCUAGGUCGGAUUAGCUAGUUGGUGGGGUAAAGGCCUACCAAGGCGACGAUCCGUAACUGGUCUGAGAGGAUGAUCAGUCACACUGGAACUGAGACACGGUCCAGAGUCCUACGGGAGGCAGCAGUGGGGAAUAUUGGACAAUGGGCGAAAGCCUGAUCCAGCCAUGCCGCGUGUGUGAAGAAGGUCUUCGGAUUGUAAAGCACUUUAAGUUGGGAGGAAGGGCAGUAAGUUAAUACCUUGCUGCUUUGACGUUACCAACAGAAUAAGCACCGGCUAACUUCGUG